CACCGCCCAGGUCACACUCAGGAAGCAAAGAGAGAGAAGGGAACAGCACACACAGGCCAAUCGGACUCCAUGCUCGGAAAUCUCUUCAGGAAAAAUAGAAGUUUAGGAUUGGACCUCUCAGAAAAAGCUCUUCCUUAACAAGAAGCCCCUUCAAAGGCCAAGCUGGAUUGACAGGCAAGCAGAUGUCUUCCUCAAAUGGACCUCUCCAUCAGCCCUCUUUGGAGAGCAGAUCAAUUACCUGGGGAGGGCAGGUGAGAAGGACCUAACUAAAUGUCCCAGGGAAAAAUAACAGGAGGGUGGCAUGAUUUUCUCUGAUCCUUCCAAGAGAAAAAAUGAAAUAACAAAAUUCACUCCUUUUUCUUCUUCUUCUUUCAACUGGCGGAAAACAGAUUUCAGAUUAGUUUCAAUAACUAAUGAUGACUUUAAAUUGCUUUAGCCUUUACUCCCCAUAGCCAGGAUUUAAAACAAAUAACUUUUGAAGUUUUUUGUUGUUGUUGUUAUAUUGUUAUUUUCUAAAUAAACACUCUGACUGGA